AUUGAACGCUGGCGGCAGGCCUAACACAUGCAAGUCGAGCGAGCGGCGGACGGGUGAGUAAUUCCUGGGACUUGCCCAGUCGAGGGGUAUCACCGUUGGACACGACUGCUAAUCCCGCAUACGAUUGGAUUGCCCAGGUGGGAUUAGCUAGUUGGUGGGAUAAUGGCUCACCAAGGCGACGAUCCCUAGCUGGUCUGAGAGGAUGAUCAGCCACACUGGAACUGAGACACGGCCCAGACUCCUACGGGAGGCAGCAGUGGGGAAUAUUGCGCAAUGGGGGAAACCCUGAUGCAGCCAUGCCGCGUGAGUGAAGAAGGCCUUCGGGUUGUAAAGUACUUGCAGCGAGGAGGCGUUACCCGCAGAAGAAGCACCGGCUAACUCCGUGCCAGCAGCCGCGGUAAUAC
rnacentral:rRNA from 1 species